AGAUUUAACAUUUUAGUUACUUACUACUUAUGUUUUAUGUAAGGUUUUACAGUGUCAGUAAAUAAAUAUGGGUUUAACUUCUUAAAUGUCAAGAAAAAUCAUUGAGGACCCAAAAGACUUUUAGUUUAUGUAGUUAUAUAUUUUGAUAUUUGUCAUGUUAAAAAUUUAAACAGAGAAAUUUUAAGAUAUUUACUAAUUCACUUAAAAUAACAAUAAACCAUUAACUGUUAACAUAAAUGAUUUGUUAUAAAAAUAAUCUUUUCUAAAACAAAACAAAAGAUGUUUUAAAUUUUUUCAAAUCUUUUAAAUGGAUGGUUUAAUAAAAGACACCUGGAUUCUCAUAUCUGCUUCUGCAUUCAAUCUAUGGCAAUAUGUUAUUUAGGUUGAAAUAUAUGAAGAAAAUCAUAUAUAUGAAGUAUAUGAAGAAAAUCUAGCCUCUCAUGGUACAUAGUUGGAAAAUGGCAGAAUAUUUUACUAGUCCAUGCAGAUAACUGUGGAUAUUUUUCUUUGACACCACCCUAAAACUUAAGAAAUGGUAGUGUCUGGCAGGUUAAGUACAAUGUGGAAUAUAAAAUCAUAUCUGUGAACUUUUCAUACUAUGUUACAUUGCACUUUGAAUAAUCUUUUAUCCAUGUGUAAUUUUGUAACAUCAUACACUGGUCAUUUGGAAAAUACUGAUUCAAAGAGUUAUGCAGAUCUUUGAAAUGUUGACGUAGUUCACUAUACAACAUCAAAAAAUCACAUGUUAAUAUUACCACCCAUCUCAUAAAAAAUCUUAAUGUAUUAGGAAGCUAUAAAGCUCAAAAUUAUGAAUAAACAUUUUACAAAAUUCUAAUUUUAACAUGACAGAUUGAAUUAUAUCAUUGGCAACAAAUAUUAGUUAUUUUUGAAGUGACAGGCUCACUUGCAAGAAAAUGUUUUCCUACUGCCCAAGUCUGAACAAACAAAGUUUUUCAUUCUUUGGUGAAAAAUAUGGUGUUUUGUCAAAAAAGCAGUUGGUUUAACUCACAAUUUUUUUGGGGGUGGGGACGUAGUCUCACUUUGUCACCAGGCUGGAAUGCAGUGGCACGAUCUUGGCUCACUGCAACCUCCGCCUCUCGGGUUCAAGCGAUUCUCCUGCCUCAGCCUCCCGAGUAGCUGGGACUACAGGCGCGUGCCACCAUGCUCAGCUAAUUUUUGUAUUUUUAGUAGAGAUGGGGUUUCACCAUGUUGGCCAGGAUGGUCUCGAUCUCUUAACCUUGUGAUCUGUCCGCCUUGGCCUCCCAAAAUGCUGGGAUUACGGGCAUCAGCCACAGAGCCUGGCCUUUAACUCACAACUUAAACAACUGUACAAGUGGUUUUCUUCAAGGCAACCAUCAUACUUUGGUAUACAGCAGAAGACCUUAAUGGAUACUUCCCAUUUCAUUACAUAGAAUAUUUUUUAAAUGUAUAUAUAAUCAAGGGUUGAGAUUUAAUAAAAUGAAUACUGCUUCUUCAAGAUGUUCUUAAGUGAAAAUGGGUUUUUUCUUAACACAUUUUCUUUGUGUGUGGAGGUAAAGAAUAUGAUGAUUACUAGUACUAUUUGGUGCCUCUGCCUUUGCUCAUGCUAAAGCAGAGAAGAUUCACCAUGGCUUCUACACCACCAGUGGAAGUGUCACCACAGUGAAAAAGGCAAACCUCUCAGUAUUGUUAUGAGAAUAUUUUUCACUUUGUGAAAGGUUUGGCCCACUGAAAGGUUCUUGGGAACUCCCAGGGGUCUUCAGUCCACAGUUUGAGAACCACUGCCCUACCUAGAGUAAGAAUUAUGUCCAGGACUAAGGAUAAAACCAAACUGUACCUGCCUUCAAAAAUCAACUCUUAAAAAGAUCAUUGUGAUCUGCUAUUAAUUUAACUGCUUGCCUGAACAGUUUAACUAUUAGGAAGAUAAUAAAAUCCCCAAGUCACUACAACAUGGCAUCUACAAUGGCCAGUAUACAAUGAGAAAUUGUAAGACCGGUAAAGAAGCAGGAAAAUUUGACACAAGAUUUAGAGAAAAUACAGUCAAUAAAAGCAGACCCACAAAACCAAAUGUAAAUUCUAUAACUAUAAAAUGUAGGUGGAAUGAAAUCUUUAUUGGAUAGGCUUAACAAUAAUUGGACACUAUCAAAGAAAAAAAAAACAGUGACUUCAAGACAGGUAAAUAGGUAUUACCAAACUGAAGUACAAAGAGUAAAAAGACUGGGGGUUGCACCUCCGUGACUGGUGGCACCAUAUAAGUGGUCUAACACACAUAUAAUUGGAGUCUUAGGAGGAGGAAAAGUACUAAAGAAGCAGAAAAAAGUAUUUGAAGAUACAAUGGUUGAAAUUUCUCCAAAUUCAAUAAAAAAAUCAACCCACUGAUCAAAGGUAAGGGAAAGUGAAGCAUGAUAAAUGUAAAGGAACCAUAUCUAGAACUUUAUAGUCAGAUUAUUACAGACCAAAAAUAAAGAAAAAACUUAAUAACAGAGAAUAAAGUAUAUAUAAAAUGAACAAUAAGAAUCAUAGCUGUCUAAUCAUUAUAUACAAUAGAGUUCAGAAGAUAAUGGAACAUUUUUGAAGCUAACUAAAAGAAAAAAUAUAUCAGUUGGGAAAUUCAUAUCUGGUAAAAAUAUCCUUCAAAAAUAAGAAAGAUGAAGGCUGGGUGCAGUGGCUCAUGCCUGUAAUCCCAGCACUUUGGGAGGCCAAGGCAGGUGGAUCACCUGAGGUCAGGAAAUCAAAACCAGCCUGGCCAACACAGUGAAACCUUGUGUCUACUAAAAAUACAAAAACUAGUCAGGCAUAGUGGCACACGACUGUAAUCCCAGCUAUUUUGGAGGCUGAGGCACGAGAAUUGCUUGAACCUGGGAGGCAGAGGCUGCGGUGAGCUGAAAUCAUGGCACUGCACUCCAGCCUGGGUGACACAGUGAGACUGUCUCAAAAAAAAAAAAAAAAAAGAUAAAAUUAGCUGCUAGUAGCCAUAUAACACAAGAAAUGCUAAAGGAAGCUUUUCAGGCUGAAUGAAGUUUACAGAUUAGUAAAAUUCUUACAUUAUACAACAAAGUAGUAUGUUAUUAAUUUCAAGUAGACCAUGCUAAAUUAAGGAUGCAUAUUGUAAUCCCAAAAGUAAAUACAAAUAAUACAGCAAAAGAUAACAGAUGAGAUAAAAUGGAAUACUAAAAAAUACUUGAUGAAUCCAAGAAGGUGGAAACAAAAGAAAGAACUAGUGAAACAAAAAAUAGCAAGAUAGUAAACUGAAAUCUAACCAUAUCAAUAGUGACAUUAAAUGAAUAUGUAGGAGUGAUGUCACACAAAAUGAUGAAAUAGGAAGCUCUAAGGGCUGGUACCUCCAUCAAAGCAACAAUUGAGCUGGAAAGACAGAUUGUCAUUGGCCAGGUGCGGUGGGCCACACCUGUAAUCCUAGCAUUUUGGGAGGCCGAGGUGGGUGGAUCACGAGGUCAGGAGAUUGAGACCAUCCUGGCUAACACGGUGAAACCUCAUCUCUACUAAAAAAUAAAAAAAAAAAAGGAGAAAAAAAAUUAGCCGGGCGUGGUGGCAGGCGCCUGUAGUCCCAGCUACUCAGGAGGCUGAGGCAGGAGAAUGGUGUGAACCUGGGAGGCAGAGCUUGCAGUGAGCCGAGAUCACACCACUGCACUCCAGCCUGGGUGACAGAGCAAGACUCCAUCUCAAAAAAAAAAAAGAGAGAGAGAGAUUGGCAUCCACAAACUCUUAAUUCUGGAAUCUUAUCAGGCACUUCCAUAACAACAAGGGGAGUGCUGGAUGAAUAAAGAGGCUACUAUUCUUAGGUGAAAGAGUGGCUCGUGCAAGCCACCAUCCCCCAUUUCUCAGUCCAGCCAAUGCUAUGGGAUGACAGGCCUAUGUGCCUGGAAUGCUGUGUACCAACUAAUCACUUCCUUCACUCCUCAGCUCCACCACAGCUGUGGGGAGAGCAGCCUGUAUUCCUGGAACAGCCGGUUGGGACCUGGGUGGGCAGCGUGACCUUGUCUUCCAAAAAAUUCAGGGUUGUGCAGUUUGGUGGGUUUUGUGUUACCUUGAGGGACCAGCACAGAUAACUGCCUUGAUUUUAGCCCCAUCAGCCACAGCAGCUUUCCCCAGAAGUAUCUAUUGGAAGAUUUAAAGGGCUAAUGGACCUUUUUUUCCUCCCCUUUUUACAGCCAGAUAUUUAAGUAAAUCUUUGUCUGGUACUAACUGACUGUAGAGAUGAUGGAACAGAAAUUUCAGUGACCACAUACAAUAAGGAAUAUACAAUUUGCAAAAAGAGUUUGAAAAAAUCUGACAGCUCCAGCCCUCAACAAGCAGAAAUCAGCUAUGCCUGAGGAAUGGGAAAAUUGAAUCUCCAGAGGUACCACAUUAUAAUACUCAAAAUGCCCAGUUUUAACAAAAAAAAUUACAAAGCAUACAGUGAAACAGGAAAAUAUGGGGCCCGUUCAAAGGAAAAAAAAGAAUCUGACAGAAACCAUUCCUGAGGAAGCCCAGACAUUAAAUGAACUAUCCAAAUAUGCUCAAUGAGCUACAGAAACCAUGGACCAAGAGCUAAAGGAAAUCAGGAAAAGAAUGUAUGAACAAAAUGAAAAUAUCAAUAAAAGGAUAGAAAUUAUAAAAAAAAGGAACCAAACAAAUUCUGGAGUAAAGUAACUGAAAUGAAAAUUUCAAUAGUGGAUUCAGCAGAAGAAAGACUCAGCAAACUUGAAAAUGAGUCAUUUGAAAUUAUUGCACUAGAGAAGCAAAAAGAAAAAGGAAUAAUGAACAGUGAAGAGAGCCUGAGGGAUCAAUGGGAUACCAUCAAGCACACCAACAUACACAUCAUAUGAGUCCCAGAAAAAGAAGAGAGACAAAAGUAGAGAAAAAAAUUUGAAGAAAAAAUGUCUGAAAACUUCCAAAAUCUGACAAAAGGCAGGAAUACACACAUCCAAGAGGUUCAAGCAAUCCAGCCACCUCAGCCUCCCCA
rnacentral:lncRNA from 1 species